rnacentral:rRNA from 1 species
CAGCAGCCGCGGUAAUACGGAGGAUCCGAGCGUUAUCCGGAAUUAUUGGGUUUAAAGGGUGCGUAGGCGGAUAGAUAAGUCAGUGGUGAAAGACGGUGGCUCAACCAUCGCAGUGCCGUUGAUACUGUUUAUCUUGAAUAUGGAUGAGGCAGGCGGAAUGUGGCAAGUAGCGGUGAAAUGCAUAGAUAUGCCACAGAACACCGAUUGCGAAGGCAGCUUACCAAGGCAAAAUUGACGCUGAGGCACGAAAGCGUGGGGAUCGAACAGGAUUAGAUACCCCCGUAGUCCCUGUCUCUUAUAA